AUUGAACGCUGGCGGCAUGCCUUACACAUGCAAGUCAAACGGCAGCAUGAUCUAGCUUGCUAGAUUGAUGGCGAGUGGCGAACGGGUGAGUAAUACAUCGGAACGUGCCCUGUAGUGGGGGAUAACUAGUCGAAAGAUUAGCUAAUACCGCAUACGACCUGAGGGUGAAAGUGGGGGACCGCAAGGCCUCAUGCUAUAGGAGCGGCCGAUGUCUGAUUAGCUAGUUGGUGGGGUAAAGGCCCACCAAGGCGACGAUCAGUAGCUGGUCUGAGAGGACGAUCAGCCACACUGGGACUGAGACACGGCCCAGACUCCUACGGGAGGCAGCAGUGGGGAAUUUUGGACAAUGGGCGAAAGCCUGAUCCAGCAAUGCCGCGUGUGUGAAGAAGGCCUUCGGGUUGUAAAGCACUUUUGUCCGGAAAGAAAUGGCUCUGGUUAAUACCUGGGGUCGAUGACGGUACCGGAAGAAUAAGGACCGGCUAACUACGUGCCAGCAGCCGCGGUAAUACGUAGGGUCCAAGCGUUAAUCGGAAUUACUGGGCGUAAAGCGUGCGCAGGCGGUUGUGCAAGACCGAUGUGAAAUCCCCGAGCUUAACUUGGGAAUUGCAUUGGUGACUGCACGGCUAGAGUGUGUC
rnacentral:rRNA from 1 species